rnacentral:ncRNA from 1 species
UACUUGGUUGAUCCUGCCAGUAGUAAUAUGCUUGUCUCAAAGAUUAAGCCAUGCCUGU